GGCGACCUUGCCCACAAAAUAUGUGCGGCGGUGGCGUCUGACGGUGGGGAGUUAACGUGCGAGGCGGCCUGCAGCACCGUGGCAAGCGCUAUUCCCGGCGCUAGUUUAUUGUGUCCAGCGGCAUGCCAUCUAAUCCAGAGUGGGGCACACAAGUGUUAAUAAAAGCGGCCGGCUGCUUUGAUAAUCAUGUUAUGUUCACGUAACAAAAUAAAAACCACAAUAUUA